AAUGCUUCUGUGAACGUUUUAAAAACAGAAACGGAAUUGGCACGCCUGCUGUGUCUUCUCCCGCACUGACCCGUAAAUGAAAUCCUCUGCGCGAUCUUCGCAACUUGGAGAGAAUACCUUUUAGGUAGCGCUGCCAUGUGCUGAGACUUUUGCGGCUUUAUCUGGCUGAACAUUUAAAUUUUCUUUUUAAACACAAAGCACGUCUGUCUGAGCCUGACCCCCCCCUCCCCCUUUCCUGUUUGCUGUCACUGAGUUAUGUCUAUUUAGGGUCCUCAUCUCCUUUUUCCUUCCCUCCCCCAAGUAAGUGCUGGGUCAUAUUACUCUCUCCCCUUGUCCAGUAAUUAUGAGGUGUAGAAGCAACAGGCGAGUACACAUUUGGAUCCUUGUGAACAAGACAACUGACUUCUAAACCAUGCAUGUGUUGGAUGAUACAUUUCAGGGUGAAGGCAAUCUGUGAGAAAUUCUGGUGGAGCUCCACUCAUGAGUGGUCGUUCUGCAUGGACCACCGUGAACUCCAGCUUUAGAAGACCCAAAGACUUACCAAGUUCCCCGGGGAUUAUAAAGCCAUUACGACUCAGCAGUAACAAGUGUUAAGCAUGUUAAGUGCAGUAAUACAUGCAUAAAUCAAGAUUUUUUUUCCCCACGAUGGAAAAAUAAUUUGUUAUAGCCAGUUUAUCCAAACUGACAAAUCUCUUGCCAGUUGCUUUUUUGGGCUAAUAUGAAGUUAAACUCCUUUCUCUAUUGCAUUUAAUUUUCCAUACUCCUCUCAGUGCUGGUCAUCUCUUGUCCUGCAUGGAGUUGACCUCUUCUUCCUCCCCAACUUCCACUACGGAUCUGUGCCCUGAUCAUGACGGCUCCCCAGAGCACCAGUCACCAGACAUUCUCUCACGGCACACAUCCCACUCGAAGGACCAGGGUGGGCUGCGGUAUGGUUUAGGUGUGGCCUGGGCUCAACUACGUCCUUUUCUGCCAUUUUUUUUGAUCAGCUGUCUGGUGGUGGCACUCGUCUACCUGCUCCAUAUCAUCAUUUACAGUGGCCCCUUCACUGACCCGCUCUUCUUUCAAAAAUUUGCCAAGCGCUGGCCCAAACCUCGCCAAGACUGGACCUCCAACUUUGGAAAGACCCCAGCGGAGCAGCUGGGAGACGGCAAAAACAUGACUUGAUGACACAUCACUGAGCCAAACUGAAUAGACCUGGAUGUCAGUAUGAAUAAUGUCUGAACAAGGCAGCUCUCUGUUGCCACCCCUACUCCUCUCUGUUGUUUUUUUAAUCAUUUUGAAACUAUUCAGUUAAAUAUUUUUCAUUUAGUAUACGACUUCAGCUGCAUACCUAGAAUUUGAAAUUGUUUCCAAAAAUGUAUUAACUGUAAUUUUAUCGGUUUACUGCAGAGUCGGUACCAACUGAGCUACCAGAAAAGUGCUGUCAUGUAAGCGUUGCAUAUCGAAGAAACUCUUAUCUUAAUUUUUUUUAUUAUGGAACAGAAAACGGAUAUGUAGAAAAAUAUAUGCGUUUUCCUUUAUAAUUUGAAAUAUGACAAACUGAAAAUGAAUAAAAGUAAUUAAAAACUUG